rnacentral:rRNA from 1 species
GACGAACGCUGGCGGCGUGCUUAACACAUGCAAGUCGAGCGGUAAGGCCCUUUCGGGGGUACGACGAGCGGCGAACGGGUGAGUAACACGUGGGUGACCUGCCCUUAGCUCUGGGAUAAGCCUGGGAAACUGGGUCUAAUACCGGAUAUGACUCCAUGACGCAUGUUGUGGGGUGGAAAGCCUUGUGCGGCUAGGGAUGGGCCCGCGGCCUAUCAGCUUGUUGGGUGGGGUGAUGGCCUACCAAGGCGACGACGGGUAGCCGGCCUGAGAGGGCGACCGGCCACACUGGGACUGAGACACGGCCCAGACUCCUACGGGAGGGCAGCAGUGGGGGAAUCUUGCGCAAUGGGGCGAAAGCCUGACGCAGCGACGCCGCGUGAGGGAUGACGGCCU